rnacentral:misc_RNA from 1 species
GAAGGGAGGGGGGAGCGGGGAGGAGCGGCCGGGCCUGGGGCCUUGAGGCCCGGGGAGAGCCGGGGAGCCGGGCCCGCGCGCCGAGAUGUUGCUGCUGCUGCUACUGGCGCCACUCUUCCUCCGCCCCCCGGGCGCGGGCGGGGCGCAGACCCCCAACGCCACCUCAGAAGGUUGCCAGAUCAUACACCCGCCCUGGGAAGGGGGCAUCAGGUACCGGGGCCUGACUCGGGACCAGGUGAAGGCUAUCAACUUCCUGCCAGUGGACUAUGAGAUUGAGUAUGUGUGCCGGGGGGAGCGCGAGGUGGUGGGGCCCAAGGUCCGCAAGUGCCUGGCCAACGGCUCCUGGACAGAUAUGGACACACCCAGCCGCUGUGUCCGAAUCUGCUCCAAGUCUUAUUUGACCCUGGAAAAUGGGAAGGUUUUCCUGACGGGUGGGGACCUCCCAGCUCUGGACGGAGCCCGGGUGGAUUUCCGGUGUGACCCCGACUUCCAUCUGUGAAUCGAACGCCACACUCAGAACGGCGCGCAGUGUACAUCGGGGCACUGUUUCCCAUGAGCGGGGGCUGGCCAGGGGGCCAGGCCUGCCAGCCCGCGGUGGAGAUGGCGCUGGAGGACGUGAAUAGCCGCAGGGACAUCCUGCCGGACUAUGAGCUCAAGCUCAUCCACCACGACAGCAAGUGUGAUCCAGGCCAAGCCACCAAGUACCUAUAUGAGCUGCUCUACAACGACCCUAUCAAGAUCAUCCUUAUGCCUGGCUGCAGCUCUGUCUCCACGCUGGUGGCUGAGGCUGCUAGGAUGUGGAACCUCAUUGUGCUUUCCUAUGGCUCCAGCUCACCAGCCCUGUCAAACCGGCAGCGUUUCCCCACUUUCUUCCGAACGCACCCAUCAGCCACACUCCACAACCCUACCCGCGUGAAACUCUUUGAAAAGUGGGGCUGGAAGAAGAUUGCUACCAUCCAGCAGACCACUGAGGUCUUCACUUCGACUCUGGACGACCUGGAGGAACGAGUGAAGGAGGCUGGAAUUGAGAUUACUUUCCGCCAGAGUUUCUUCUCAGAUCCAGCUGUGCCCGUCAAAAACCUGAAGCGCCAGGAUGCCCGAAUCAUCGUGGGACUUUUCUAUGAGACUGAAGCCCGGAAAGUUUUUUGUGAGGUGUACAAGGAGCGUCUCUUUGGGAAGAAGUACGUCUGGUUCCUCAUUGGGUGGUAUGCUGACAAUUGGUUCAAGAUCUACGACCCUUCUAUCAACUGCACAGUGGAUGAGAUGACUGAGGCGGUGGAGGGCCACAUCACAACUGAGAUUGUCAUGCUGAAUCCUGCCAAUACCCGCAGCAUUUCCAACAUGACAUCCCAGGAAUUUGUGGAGAAACUAACCAAGCGACUGAAAAGACACCCUGAGGAGACAGGAGGCUUCCAGGAGGCACCGCUGGCCUAUGAUGCCAUCUGGGCCUUGGCACUGGCCCUGAACAAGACAUCUGGAGGAGGCGGCCGUUCUGGUGUGCGCCUGGAGGACUUCAACUACAACAACCAGACCAUUACCGACCAAAUCUACCGGGCAAUGAACUCUUCGUCCUUUGAGGGUGUCUCUGGCCAUGUGGUGUUUGAUGCCAGCGGCUCUCGGAUGGCAUGGACGCUUAUCGAGCAGCUUCAGGGUGGCAGCUACAAGAAGAUUGGCUACUAUGACAGCACCAAGGAUGAUCUUUCCUGGUCCAAAACAGAUAAAUGGAUUGGAGGGUCCCCCCCAGCUGACCAGACCCUGGUCAUCAAGACAUUCCGCUUCCUGUCACAGAAACUCUUUAUCUCCGUCUCAGUUCUCUCCAGCCUGGGCAUUGUCCUAGCUGUUGUCUGUCUGUCCUUUAACAUCUACAACUCACAUGUCCGUUAUAUCCAGAACUCACAGCCCAACCUGAACAACCUGACUGCUGUGGGCUGCUCACUGGCUUUAGCUGCUGUCUUCCCCCUGGGGCUCGAUGGUUACCACAUUGGGAGGAACCAGUUUCCUUUCGUCUGCCAGGCCCGCCUCUGGCUCCUGGGCCUGGGCUUUAGUCUGGGCUACGGUUCCAUGUUCACCAAGAUUUGGUGGGUCCACACGGUCUUCACAAAGAAGGAAGAAAAGAAGGAGUGGAGGAAGACUCUGGAACCCUGGAAGCUGUAUGCCACAGUGGGCCUGCUGGUGGGCAUGGAUGUCCUCACUCUCGCCAUCUGGCAGAUCGUGGACCCUCUGCACCGGACCAUUGAGACAUUUGCCAAGGAGGAACCUAAGGAAGAUAUUGACGUCUCUAUUCUGCCCCAGCUGGAGCAUUGCAGCUCCAGGAAGAUGAAUACAUGGCUUGGCAUUUUCUAUGGUUACAAGGGGCUGCUGCUGCUGCUGGGAAUCUUCCUUGCUUAUGAGACCAAGAGUGUGUCCACUGAGAAGAUCAAUGAUCACCGGGCUGUGGGCAUGGCUAUCUACAAUGUGGCAGUCCUGUGCCUCAUCACUGCUCCUGUCACCAUGAUUCUGUCCAGCCAGCAGGAUGCAGCCUUUGCCUUUGCCUCUCUUGCCAUAGUUUUCUCCUCCUAUAUCACUCUUGUUGUGCUCUUUGUGCCCAAGAUGCGCAGGCUGAUCACCCGAGGGGAAUGGCAGUCGGAGGCGCAGGACACCAUGAAGACAGGGUCAUCGACCAACAACAACGAGGAGGAGAAGUCCCGGCUGUUGGAGAAGGAGAACCGUGAACUGGAAAAGAUCAUUGCUGAGAAAGAGGAGCGUGUCUCUGAACUGCGCCAUCAACUCCAGUCUCGGCAGCAGCUCCGCUCCCGGCGCCACCCACCGACACCCCCAGAACCCUCUGGGGGCCUGCCCAGGGGACCCCCUGAGCCCCCCGACCGGCUUAGCUGUGAUGGGAGUCGAGUGCAUUUGCUUUAUAAGUGAGGGUAGGGUGAGGGAGGACAGGCCAGUAGGGGGAGGGAAAGGGAGAGGGGAAGGGCAGGGGACUCAGGAAGCAGGGGGUCCCCAUCCCCAGCUGGGAAGAACAUGCUAUCCAAUCUCAUCUCUUGUAAAUACAUGUCCCCCUGUGAGUUCUGGGCUGAUUUGGGUCUCUCAUACCUCUGGGAAACAGACCUUUUUCUCUCUUACUGCUUCAUGUAAUUUUGUAUCACCUCUUCACAAUUUAGUUCGUACCUGGCUUGAAGCUGCUCACUGCUCACACACUGCCUCCUCAGCAGCCUCACUGCAUCUUUCUCUUCCCAUGCAACACCCUCUUCUAGUUACCACGGCAACCCCUGCAGCUCCUCUGCCUUUGUGCUCUGUUCCUGUCCAGCAGGGGUCUCCCAACAAGUGCUCUUUCCACCCCAAAGGGGCCUCUCCUUUUCUCCACUGUCAUAAUCUCUUUCCAUCUUACUUGCCCUUCUAUACUUUCUCACAUGUGGCUCCCCCUGAAUUUUGCUUCCUUUGGGAGCUCAUUCUUUUCGCCAAGGCUCACAUGCUCCUUGCCUCUGCUCUGUGCACUCACGCUCAGCACACAUGCAUCCUCCCCUCUCCUGCGUGUGCCCACUGAACAUGCUCAUGUGUACACACGCUUUUCCCGUAUGCUUUCUUCAUGUUCAGUCACAUGUGCUCUCGGGUGCCCUGCAUUCACAGCUACGUGUGCCCCUCUCAUGGUCAUGGGUCUGCCCUUGAGCGUGUUUGGGUAGGCAUGUGCAAUUUGUCUAGCAUGCUGAGUCAUGUCUUUCCUAUUUGCACACGUCCAUGUUUAUCCAUGUACUUUCCCUGUGUACCCUCCAUGUACCUUGUGUACUUUCUUCCCUUAAAUCAUGGUAUUCUUCUGACAGAGCCAUAUGUACCCUACCCUGCACAUUGUUAUGCACUUUUCCCCAAUUCAUGUUUGGUGGGGCCAUCCACACCCUCUCCUUGUCACAGAAUCUCCAUUUCUGCUCAGAUUCCCCCCAUCUCCAUUGCAUUCAUGUACUACCCUCAGUCUACACUCACAAUCAUCUUCUCCCAAGACUGCUCCCUUUUGUUUUGUGUUUUUUUGAGGGGAAUUAAGGAAAAAUAAGUGGGGGCAGGUUUGGAGAGCUGCUUCCAGUGGAUAGUUGAUGAGAAUCCUGACCAAAGGAAGGCACCCUUGACUGUUGGGAUAGACAGAUGGACCUAUGGGGUGGGAGGUGGUGUCCCUUUCACACUGUGGUGUCUCUUGGGGAAGGAUCUCCCCGAAUCUCAAUAAACCAGUGAACAGUGUGACUCGG